rnacentral:tRNA from 1 species
AGUGAUGUGGUUUAGUGGUAGAACACUUGCCUAGCAAGUACAAGGCUCUGGGUUCCAUACUUAGCACCACCA